UCCGGUUUGUCACCGGCAGUCUCCCUAGAGUGCCCUUGCGUAGCAACUAGGGACAAGGGUUGCGCUCGUUGCGGGACUUAACCCAACAUCUCACGACACGAGCUGACGACAGCCAUGCAGCACCUGUGUUCCAAUUCCCUUUCGGGCACACCCACCUCUCUGCAGGGUUCCGACCAUGUCAAGGGUAGGUAAGGUUAUUCGCGUUGCAUCGAAUUAAUCCACAUCAUCCACCGCUUGUGCGGGUCCCCGUCAAUUCCUUUGAGUUUUAGCCUUGCGGCCGUACUCCCCAGGCGGGGAACUUAAUGCGUUAGCUGCGGCACCGACGACGUGGAAUGUCGCCAACACCUAGUUCCCACCGUUUACGGCGUGGACUAC
rnacentral:misc_RNA from 1 species